UACGGGGGGCUCAAGCGUUGUUCGGAUUCAUUGGGCGUAAAGGGCGCGUAGGCGGCUUGGCAAGUCCGUCAUGAAAUGUACCGGUUCAACCGGGGCACUGUGUCGGAAACUGCCUGGCUUGAGGUCGAGGAAGGAGAGUGGAAUUCCUGGUGUAGCGGUGAAAUGCGUAGAUAUCAGGAGGAACACCCGUGGCGAAGGCGGCUCUCUAGCUCGAUUCUGACGCUGAGGCGCGAAAGCUAGGGGAGCAAACGGG
rnacentral:rRNA from 1 species